AACGAACGCUGGCGGCAUGCCUAACACAUGCAAGUCGAACGAGACCUUCGGGUCUAGUGGCGCAGGGGUGCGUAACGCGUGGGAACCUGCCCUUAGGUUCGGAAUAACUCCCCGAAAGGGGAGCCAAUACCGGAUAAGGUCUUCGGACCAAAGAGUUAUCGCCGUUGGAUGGGCCCGCGUUGGAUUAGCUAGUUGGUAGGGUAAAAGCCUACCAAGGCGACGAUCCAUAGCUGGUCUGAGAGGAUGAUCAGCCACACUGGGACUGAGACACGGCCCAGACUCCUACGGGAGGCAGCAGUGGGGAAUAUUGGACAAUGGGCGAAAGCCUGAUCCAGCAAUGCCGCGUGAGUGAUGAAGGCCUUAGGGUUGUAAAGCUCUUUUACCCGGGAUGAUAAUGACAGUACCGGGAGAAUAAGCUCCGGCUAACUCCGUG
rnacentral:rRNA from 1 species